CAAGCGCUGGGCGACGGCGGCUGCAGGGAGGGUUCGGGCGAUGGCGGCAGCUGGAAGCCAGGACCUGCUCCAGAAAGGAAGGAAGCUGCGGCAGGCAAGCAGCAAUAAGGUGGUGACGCGGAGACGGCUGGCAUGGUCGUCAUCUUCCAGCGCGGUGCGAGAUGAGAGGCAUACCUUCGCCGCGUCGACGGGAGGCAGUGAUGUCUCGCGCAGUCAACGCCGGCGCAGCCUUUGCCCGAAGCAGAGCCGACUCAUGUCGUUGAUGUUGUUGUCGCCGGGAUCAGCGCCGCCUCACGCCGUUGAGCCUGCAGGCAGCAUCGUCGCGGAGACGAGUCCACGGCUUGCAUCAGCCCAAAUUUCUGGGUCACCAGCACUCGAGCCAGAGUAUAUUGGUAACAUUCUCAUGGUAUUUCUAUUUAAAGAUUGUUCAGGCUGGUUUUAUAUUAGUACUUAAGCUCUUGGACUUAGAGCAAUGGUCAAUGAGAUGGGCAACAACAUGGUUAUUGUUCAGCAAGGUAUGUUGCAGAAUGCUAUAUGCUAUCUAGGACUUAGUAAAAAAGAAUUCUCACUAUCCUAUGCAACUUUAGCAUCAGAGGAGAGUUCUAAGGGUUGUGAAAAAACCAUGCACCUCCCAGAUGCAUUCAUUUGAUGCUUUGUGUGAUAUGGCAAUGAGUUUUUGGUUCCUAUUAAUUCAAAGGCUAUGGUAAUGGCACCUUACAAAACUAAGUGUAGCAGAUCAUUGUUGCUCUAUUCAAGUGAGGAGUGAUUUACAAGAAAAAUCGCAAAACAAAAUGGUAUAUGCUCUUUCUUAUCACUUAUCAGACAACUUAUGUAACCAUGUAAACAACAUGUUCCCAUUUUGUGGAUGAUGGAUAAUCAUUAAUGGUAUCUUGAACUGUUUUGAUAAGUAGGAUAUAGAGCUGGGAUAAGUAAAGAAAGUGUUUGCUUACUAUAUUAUAUUGUUUUGAUGAUAUUUGUCAGUUUAUUAUUUGUUAAUGACCAGUAAAGUUCUGAAGAGUGUUGAUUCUACCUUGGACUGUGUUCUUUCUUUUCCUUCAUUGAAUCUGAACCGAAGCUCAGCACAGGGGAAGCCUUGAACUUAGAUGCUCAAAAGAUACAUUUUUUUGUUGUCUCUAUUAAUUAAGGUGCUUUUCUUCCCCUCCUUAACAUCCAGGAGAGGUAUAGCUCAGAUGAACAUGUAAGGACGGAGAUUGAUAUCCAUUCUGAUUGGAACGGUCUUUCGCGGAUGUGAAGAUGGUUUAAAGUAAAAUACGGUGGGUUAUUAGUUAAAGGAUUAUGUGCCUCAGUUGUCAUAUCCUAAGACCAAGUAAAAUAUCCUCUUCAAUGAUGAGCUUUAUUCAAUGUCUCUCAUGCCAAAAUCUUCAAACUUCAAUGCUUUUGUGUUAUGAUUCAUGUCUUUUUUGUCAUUGUUGAAUUUGGUAAUAAGACCUGAACAUCAGAUGGAGUGGAGGCAACAAAUGGAUCAUUUUUCUUUAGUAUUUGAAGUCAUGGUCAAUUGCAUCCCGGAGGUUCUUCGACGGAUGAUUCACCAUUUUUGUUUGUAGGAUGGUUGAGGUAUCUCUUUGGGCAUCCCUCCUCUCCGAACUUUCUAAUUAUCCUGUGUGCAAAUUAAGAGUAGAAUAUGCAGUUUGUAACCAUAUAAAUUUUGUAUCGUAUAAACAGUUGUGUUGGUUUAGGUUCGAAUAAAAACUUGCCUAGCUUUUGAAAAAUUAUGCAUGUGCAUAUCAAUGAUCUGCAUCCUAAGUCUAUAAAGCAUAUUGUUUGGCAUGUAAGAGCAACUAUAUAGACUCCUAUAUUUUCUUGAACUUGGAUUCAGUUAUUUAGAAUAUAUAUAAAUGUAUUUUCUGUCCUCUGGUUGAGUUUUCAAGAUUGAUCUAGACUUACUGAUCUGUCAGAAAACCUAGGAUUGGGAACACAAUGCUUCUACAAGUCCGAGGUAUAUUUAAGAUAAAACUGUAAGGUUUCUUGCAUGCACUAUAAUUUAUUUUGAAGCGGUUCUCUCCAUCUUAUAGUGUAUGUUCACGCUUUCACCGCACCAUUGAUUUUUUCCUUUUUUACCUUUGGCCUUUUAGGGAAAUAAAUAAAGAGAAGAAACAAUAAUUUUCAUUUGUCGCUUUCAGCUUCUGUCUAAAUUUGGAUUACACUACCAAUGCAAUUGAAACCAGAUAUGGUAUGCCUCUUUGAUAAGGAAUCACUGUUUCUGGUAUAUCAUAGCUAUCGUAGAUGUUGUGAGUGCGUCUUGUUUUUACUGCUAAUUGGAAAAUUCUCUGCUGGUGUAGUGGAUGCAUAGCAUAUAUAAAACACAAUCGAUUUUCCAAAAUUAGUAAUGAGGAAAGCCUUUAAUUUCGUUGAACUGAAAUAGUUUGCCUUUCGGAGCAGCAACUUACACAGUUACACCUAUGAGAAUACAUUAUCAUUGAACUGAACCUGGAAGGCUAUGCCAUCAGGCGUGAGUUCAACAAGUGAUUAUCAAUUGAACUGAACCUGGAAGGCCAUGCCAUCUCUCUAUACCUGUUUUCGUUUUUUAUGUGCUCAAGCUGGCGCUUUGAUAUUACUGAGUAGCCACACAAAUCAAUGUCAUGCACCCGCUAAUCAAUCUUAACUAAAUCCGCAAGUGCAUGGUGCUCUAGCCUCCAGGACACAUAUGUAUUGUGCACUGCUGGUUUUGAUUUCUUUAUUUUGCCAUCCUAUUGUUUAUUGACCGAUCUUUACUUUUCUCUACAGCUUUCCUUCCCCUGCCUAUGCAUUCUUUCACUCUUAAUUGAUGUGGUUAU